GUGAGUAAAGGGCCGGAGCCACGAAGGUUAGAACCCGGCUGGCAGGAGACGGGGAGGCGCGAGUUGGGGGUUGGGGGGUCCGGGCAGGGGUGUCUCGGGAGUAGCCGCUCCCCUUUCCCGUCCCCGCCCCAGCGACAGGCAAGAGGGGCCUCCCUCCCGGGAUUUGUUUAUAUGUCUUCUCAAAGUAGCUUGAAGCGGCUCGGAGGCGGAGCUCUCAGCGCGGAGUGGCAGGCUGUGCCGUCCAAUGGGGCAGGCAGACCAGAGCAGCCUCGCCAAUGGGCGUGGAGGAGGCGGCGCCCCGGCCCCCCAAUUGGUUAGGCUGUGCCGGGGGUGGGCCGGGUGGCGCGGCCAUGUUAGAUGGGAGGGGACCGGUGGCUGUGGGUCCCUGAGAAAGGGGGAGACAGGGCAAAGGGCGAGGGAACCGGGCCGGGGGCGCUUCGGGUGUCCGAAGGCGAGUCCAGUCGUCCCGGAAAGUAGCUCAGAAAGCCUCGUCCCGACCUGCCGCUCUCUCCACCCGAGCAGAGGAGGCAGGGAAGUACCGAGGACAGUCCAGCCGCCCCUGGGGGUGGUUCCUGGGACUUGAUGGAGCUCAGUCUCUGGAUUCUCCCUCUUUCUCGGCCCUACGCUUCCUGACAAACCUGGCCGCCAAACUCUGUAAUUGCCUUCCUUUAAUCCAAGAAAGCAAACCUUUUGCUGUUUCUGAGCGGGCUUGAGCCUUAAGACAACCUUAAGAAGGUACUUGGAUAACUAGCGGUCUGAAUUUCUGCACCAGGCCUCAGAUAGAGGCAAGCAGGGAGUAGGAAGUUCUGCUUUUCUGGAUUUUGCACGGAGAAAACCAGGACUAGAAAAGCGGAGAAAGUUAAGGGCUCGGCGGGGUUUCCAUUUUUUCAUCAAGAUACAUUCUAAAGAUCACCCCCAGCCCGUGCUGCCCUAGGCAUAGUUUGCCCCUCCUCACAUUGAUUGAUAGCUCACAUAAAUGAACUUCAUGAGAAAACUGAGCCUUGAGAAAAUUAUUUAGGUUUGAAGGUUCUUUAGGACUUUGUCUUGCGAAAUACCCUGCAGGUGAGAAAUAGGAUCACGAUCUGACUUACUUUUUAUAAAGCGGAAAAUAAGGCUUUGUAAAUCUUAUGAUAUGAUAAACUGGUUGUCACUUACUUGAUUGUACUUUAAAUAUUUUUUUCCUGUUGUCUUUUAAUCCAAAAUAGGAGAAACACCAGAGAUGAGGGAGGAAAUGGUACGAGUAGUUACAGAAUCACUAAUUUUACUUUUACUUUAGUUGUUUUGUGGUUGUUUUGGCAUCAUGUCGGCCUUAUGAAAUGCUUGAUUUAGCUUUAUGUUAACAUCGGCUUGCAACCUGUGACUGCAUUGGUAUUGUCCAGGGUACCAGCUUGUUGAUGCACCUUUGGUUAAGCACUUAGGGGAAGGAACAUGCCUUAGAUAAAUCAUGCAAGGGGUGUUCAAGAGUUGAUUGUAUUUAUUUAGGUAUUUGCAUUAUCUCAUUUUGGUAACGAGAAAAAAAUAAUAAUUGUAAAUAAAUGACUUAUCGAUCUCUAUUUUGGCAUAAUUGACUCACAGUUUUGUUAAUAUUGACAUGUGAAUAUAUAUUCCCUGUUUAUUUGAUAGACUUCAGUUCUUAAAUGUAACUUUAAUAACAGAUAGAAAUAUUAGCUUGUUUUUUCGCUUAUUCUAAUAAUGGCAGAUAGAUCUAACAGGAUUUAUUUUGGCGUAAUUCUUUUUUAUGACUGAGAGCAGGCUUGGGGUUUUUAAGCUUGUAAGCAUAGAAGAGGCUAAAUACAUCGAGAAGAGAUUUUGGAUGUGCCACCUACCAUCCCAUUCUAUGUCUGUCAUGGCAGAUGAAAACAAACUUUUACGAAGACUAUGUUCUACUUAGUUUACUAGUUCAUUCACGUGGGUUCUUGGAUGCCAGUGUAAGGAGUAAAGGAAUAGCUAGUAUGAUUCCUAGUAGUGGUUAAGGUACAAGUGACAAUAAAAGUACAACGAACUUAUGUGUUGAUUCUAUUAACGCAGCAGUUUUUAAAACAUUAAGAGAGCUGUUUGUUAUUAAAGUUUAGUUUUUAGUCACGAUUGACAGUUACUAUGACUUCGGAUGAAUCAGCAGAGGUUUUUCCAUGUGGGUUUCUCCUUGGAUGUUUUUGUGAAGAAUUCUUCUUCACCGUAUUCAGUUCAUCUUCCAGAGUAGAUAAGCUCUUACUUAGGCUAGGCAUAGAUUUGUCAUAGCACUGGUUCCAAUGAUUCUAAGAUAGGGGUCAACAGACUUCUUCUGCACAGGGUCACGUCGUAAAUAUUUAGGCUUUGUAGUCCAUAUAGCCUCUGUCACAAUGACUCAACUCUGCAAACUGUAGCUUGAAAACAGCCAUAGACAAUAUGUUUGGGGAUAUAUUCCAAUAAAACUUUGUUUUUACAAGAACAGCCUGUGGUCGAAGGCUGUAGUUUGUCAGCCCCUCUUCCAGGACAUCAGUCACUGGGUUUUGAGUACGGAUGUUCAGAUAUUUCAGACUACAUAAACAUGUACUCGAACUAGUAUUUGAGCAAUUGCGUAUAAUGUACAUACCUCCUGCCGUGAAGAAUUUCUAGAAUUAGAAGAGCACAUGGCAACAUUGUAUUCUGUUUUUAUUUCAUUUGCAAAUAGAUGUUUUCCUGAAGAAAUAUAAAGCAAAUGUUGGAAUAUUAAGUUCUAUGAAGAAAUGCAUUCCGAUUGAAAAAGUUCGGCUUUAAGAUAUGAUACCUAAGAACCUUAAUAUACUCAAGGGUAGGGCCCUUUUGAGGUUUAAAAGUGCAUCUAGCGUAUCAUUCCUUACAAAACUGUGUAUAGCUGUUUCAAGAGAUGUUACACUAGUCAACACACUUAGCGUAUGUGUGUGUGUGUGUCAUACAGUUAAUUUGGAAGCUACAUUAAUUAUGCCAGUGCCUGAGAUGUUUGCAGAAUUACUUAAAUAGGGUAGGAUACUUUUUCAAACAAGACCCAAAAAGAUACAGGUCACGCCUCCCUCCUUCCUUGGAAAAUGUCAAGUGGUGCUAAGUGCCCACUGAAGCAGAGACGCCAUAACCUAAAUAUAUUACAAAGGCAAAUAAGAUUUUCAUGGGCAGCUUUCGUCUUUGUUUUAAUGUAAUAUUUCACUAGUUUUGUUGACAUGAGCCGGAUUUCAAGUGCAAGGCUGAAAGUUUAGAAAGGUGAACAUACCAACCUCUUAAAACUGUAUCACCUUGUUUCCAUUUCUAGUUAACUUACUGUUUGGCUGGGUGACUGCAGUUUAUUAAUUUCUAAUGGUAGCGAUUAAUGAUGUUUUAUAUUUCACAGAGGGAUAUUGGGAAAUUGUUAUUGUGUUCUCAAGCUCUUGCACUUUGAAUAUGCUAAUUCUUCAGGCUGCUUAUACUUCAUGCUGCUUGCACUUCAUGCACCUCUCAAAUCUGGAUUCUGUUUUCUCUUAGCUUUAUUUCGUUACAGUGCUAAUCUUUUUAGCAUGUGAUCCACACUACAGUAUUUCUCUACCCAUUUAACAGGUGAGUUCCUUAAGGUCAGAGUCAGCCUUUUAUUUCUUAUAUCCCCAGUGCCUCCCACUGUGGCUGACACUUUUUAGUGCUUCUGAACUGUUUAAAUAAAUGAUGUUAAAAACUGCUUAUCUUGAAGGUAAUAAAGUCAAUCUGCUAUUAGUAAAGAGGCUUGGCUUUUCUUAGUUGAAAGGGAGGAAUUAAUCACCAUCUGCUCAAAUAAAAAGCUUUCAUUUAAAAAUUGACCCUUUUAAGAAAGUUUAUAUGGAAGCUAUUUUAAUGACGCCUAAAAAUACCUUGAAUUAUUUUGCUAACUUUUUUCCAGAUAAAUUCCAUUAGUUAGACUUGUCGAAUACUCCCUUCAAGACACAGAAAAAACCUCGUCCUUUGGAUUUGUCUUUAGCUCUUUGCACACUUGGUCUCUGGGUGUUUGACAAAUGUGAGUGAAAUCUCUUUAUUUCUCUGAGGUUUGAGGUGAUUGUUCAGCUACACAUCAGGGUCCCUUUUGAGGGGAAGCACUGUAAAAUUCUCACCGAUGAUUCUGAUUCACCCUGUUGGAGAAGGCUGGACUUGGCGUUCCAUGCAGGGGACCUCAGUGGUGCUUUGUGACUGUAGUACUACCCCUCCCGUCGCCAGCCAAGCCUGGUGUGCCUUUCACCAGCUCAUGACCUUUCUUCCACAAUCUAUAUUGGAGUUUUCUUUCCCAAACAGCUUCCUAAGCCAGCGUCUCCCUGCUUAUUCCCAGCAACUCUAUCAUCCCAUCAUUCUGUCCCUGUAACACUAAAACCACUUUUACAUCUUUUGUUACAAAAUCAUGUUGUCACUCAUUUAUCUUUGGGUAUUGUUGACUUUGAUGGUUUCCUAUGAAAGCUUCAUAAGCUUGCCGACUUCUUGUCUCAUUCCACUUUUCUUCAGGUUCUUGUACACUUAUUUUAUUCAGUAAACUCCUCCGUCUUUGAGAGUUUAAGGUGCUCCUUUUAUUUUUAUAGAGGAAGUUUCUUCUUUGACUGCUGCCCACCAUUCCUGAUGCAAUUUGCCUUCUCUGUGUUGGCCAUUCACUGAGAAAUUUUAAAGCAUCACAGAUAUCAAGCUUCAAAAAAGAUCCUUGAUGGUAGCAGCAACGUCCCAGGAACAUCUUACACCAAGGAAGGAAGCCACCAUUUCUUGCGUUUCUGUUUUGUGUCAGGGCUGGAUACUCUACGUUAUCAUGAAUCACAGUAUCCCUGCAGAAUAAGAAGAAUUCCUGUAUUUACAAAUAAAAGAAGGCAAGCGAGAAUUUUGAAUGAAGUUCCAAACAUCCACUUAUAAAGGAAAACUUUUACUCUUGAAUCUACAGUUCGCGUCUCAUAGAGCAAGCCUUAUAGGAGCGUUAGAGUCCAACAGGCAGCCAGCCUUUCUCAGUGUUCAAAGAAAUGACUUCAGCACUAUAUUCAGAAUCUCGUCGUAGCCCUGUGCACAUAACCUUCGGACCAUCUGUUCUGUAGUCCUGUGCUGGUGGCAUAGCCCAUUUCACAGAUUCGGAAGGAAUUUGAAGGGAAUUUCAAAAUUGUCUCUAGUCUGUAUCAUGGUACGUUUGAAAAAUGCUAAAUCUGAGAAAGGACGGAGGAGAUGGUCCGUCCUAAGGAAGAGCCCAGACCCUUAACAACAGCACCACAGAAGUCAUUAGGGUCUGUCCCAGAGUGUCCCUUGGUGGGUGUUUCCCUGGAAUCCUGCUGUGUGGCUCCAGUGUGAUGGUGCCUGCACUGCUGUCUGUUUUUAUGCUGCUGCCUUUAAUCAUGCUGUUCCCUUUUUAAUUUUGUAGAUUUCUGCAGAACAUCUCAGAAAAGGAAAUGAUUGUUUAAAACUCCAAUCUUAACUUGAGAGACAGAGACAGAGAGAGAAAAUAGCGUAACAUGUAUCAGUCCAGUGCCUGGAUUCAUUGAAUGUUUUAAUCCUUACUCCUUCCUCUGCCCUCUCCUCCCUAGACAAGAAUUUUCUCAGAUUUUUCAAACUGACAAAUUCAAACAGCACUCUUCCUGGAUAUUUAAAAGAAAAUUGGGGAGUACAGUUUUAAAUAUUUUUACUGUAUGAUACUACAGUGGUUCACGAUACAUAUUAACAAGCUGCUACAAGAUACUUCGGAGCACAUAAAAGAUGCUCAAUAAACAUAUAUUAAAUGAUGACUUCUUUGUAAUGUCCUCUUUGUAUACGAAGAACAUCGCACCUCUGACUCCUUAUCCAGAGGACUUGUGGUCUCGGGAUUUCCCAUUCACUGUCAUUCAGCUUUUGUCUGGAUGCCUGUGCUGGCCAGGGCAUUGUUUUUGGCACUGUAAUGAAAUAAACAUGAAAUAUAAUGGUCAUUCUCAAAGGUUUUACAAUCUUUACAAUCUGGUAGCGAAGGCAAGGGGUUAGGGAGAGGAAAAAUGUAAGCAAGGGCCAGAAAGGCCAGGGUCUCACUGUCGGAGGUCCUUAGUGGAGUGAAGUGGGAUUGUAAGUGCCUGAAAGAUUUGGGGGGAAAUUUUACGAUCAGAUGAAUAUUAAUGUUAUAUUUAUAGAAGAGUAGUGGAAGAUGCAGUUGGAAAGACAGUUUCAUUGUGUCUGAGUAUCUUGAAUAUUAUCCGAGAGAUGUUUGGGGGUUACUGGAAAAUUAUAGGCGCAGUGCUAGUAUGACAUGGUGGUUUGGGGAGAAUAAUUUAUAAUGGGGCAUAGGAACUGGAGCGUGAGGGAGAGGCUGGAGGCAGGAAGAUCUGUAGGGUAAAUAUUGGAAUGGUAAAUAGAAAACGAUGAGGUCCAAGUGAGGGUUGAAAAAGUGGGAAGGGCCAAGUCAAACAGAACUUCCCUUCGCCGCAAGGGAAGUUGUCAGUAUAUUUUUAUUAAAGAGAAUUGGCAUGAUUUAACGAAGUGAAUGGGGAGGAGCGAGAAGAGUCAAGGCCGAGAUCAGCAUUCUGUCCCUGGAUGUCUGAGAGUUUUGGUACUCUUGGCAGAAUAGUAACGUUUGGAUGGGGAGAUGGCAUGUUACGUCUGAGGUCACAGGAUGUGAGUGAACAUGGAAGGGCACGUGCACACGCGUGUUUAGGAUGAAGGUGCCUGAGGCACGGGGAGUAAAGGUGGUCUCUGGGAUGAUAGGUUUGCACAGAGGCAUCCAUUUACCGAAUGACCUCAGACAGAUCUCUUAUCCUUGCUGAACUUUUUUUAUUAAUGCGAAACGGUUGGGCAGAGGGUAGGGGAUGGUAACGAUGCUAAUACUUACACUAACUCCUUCACCACGUUGUUUCUGAUAUGGCAGGGAUAGCAAUAUGCUUUGUAAACUCUAAACAACUACAUGAAUAUAAACUGAAUAUUUUGUUGCCAGUGGUAAUCAAGUGUGGCUGGGGUUAGAAAUGUGUUCUUUGCUUAUGUCUAAAACUGUCCAGUGCUCUUAUUCUUGUGCUCUGAACAACUUAAUCGACAGGUAUCAAGGCUGCAGAAAGCCCCUACUAUCGUGUAGUUGACAGUGUUCAGAAAUAAAAAGUAGCUCUUCUCGUUCAACUCACAUUGAUCCAGAAA